UAAAAGUUAAAGCUGAACUGGCCGAGGAUCAUGAUGCGGAACAGGCCAAGGAUUUGCUUCGGUGCUUCAACGAAAGUGCCAUGAAUGGCAGGCACAAGGUUGA